AUGAAAUGAAAGGAUGCUCUUUUUAGAGAUCCGAUCCAUUUUAUCCUUUACACUGUGAACCCACUGCUUUUUACACUACUUUAAACACGAGUCUAAGAAUGUAAUCAAGUCUCUUAAGUGAGCAUAAAAAAUA
rnacentral:misc_RNA from 1 species